UAGACAGUCAACCUAAAACACACAGUGUCCAUUAUAUUUCAAAGAGAAGGACCGCCAUGAUUCACAAUAAAGACUCCAAUAAGGCAGUGGCAGACAUGGCUCAUGGCUCGGUUAUGUCUUCUCUAAAAUACGUUUUUGAAGAAGGGAUAAGAAGUUGGGAAGGAUGUCUGGACGGCGACCCCUUCAUGUCUCAAGUACAGGGGAAUGAAAAGAGGAGAGACCUGAAGUGUUGGUGGAGAGCACUGAUUAAGCCAGGGGACCACGGGUCUAGAACAUCCUGUCAAAGGUUCCGAGGGUCAGAACUGGAGAUGACCUGAGAAGAACUGGAACCAGCUACAACCUGGGGAGCAUCAGACACCCAGAACAAGGGGCUGUUCCUGGUUUUGCUGUUCUGGGAUGUUCAUUGCUAUCCCUAUCAACAAGCCUACAGGUUGGGCCAAGUCUACCCAAGAAUUUCAACUCUAUGGUCCACUUGUCAAACCCAGCCAAAUUAACGCCUACACACGUUACUUCCUUAAACAUGAACCCAUUUCUUCUGGUUCAAGCCUCCCUGUUCCUGUUGACUCUAGGAGUCCUAUUGAUGGGGGCUCCAAUCUUGGUAUUUAGAGUUUUGCUCCCUUGAAGACUACUGCUUCCCCUUACCUCGUUCCUCAGGCUCCUGAACAGACUGGAUGUCUUUCUGCAGGAGUAGCUUACCCUAGUUUUCUUCCUUUACCUCCACGGUGUGAGUCUUCACCAAGUACCUUCCAGGCAGGGGAAAUCUCUCACUUUGAGAGUGUUUAUGAACAUGGCAACAGAGUGAGUUUGAAGACCAAUGGUUCCCACUUCCUGAGGGUGCAGUUGAGGCAGGUUCUAUUCCAGCCCCACUCCCUGCUACAAUAGCCCCACCCCUAUCCCAAGUUAUUAGACCAGAACCUAGCCAGGAAGGUCUUGAGGCUCAUUAUGGGGAGCUGUUCAUCACUAGGAAGUUCCCUGCUGGCAUCAUCACCCAUUUAAGAACCACAUAUGACCAAUGGAGCUCAGCUAGUUUCGUCAGGUACCAUCCUGCUCCCGUCCAAUACCGACCACUAUCUCCUCAUGCCCGCCGGCAGUGACCAGUAGGAGAAGGUACAGUUUUUGGCUUUGCUUUGUCACAUGUUUUUUGACGUGUUGAGCAGCUGUGACACUUUCGAUCUCAUCCUCAGGUUCUGUGCUAACCUGGAUCCUGCUGUUUCAUGGCUGUGUUGCUUACUAAUAAACCUACUUGAGAAA
ensembl:lncRNA